GUAUAGGAGGAAUCAGUAAGCUCACUCCCCGAAAAAUACAUUGUUUUCGAUGUUCCAAUUUGGUGAAUGUGCGCGAAGUCGACCAAAAUUCAGUUUCACGUGCGCAUCCGAUGACAGUGAAUACGUUUGCUGAUUGGUCGUGACCGCCAUCUGAUUUUCAUGAAUUUUGUGAGGUUGUGUUUGGGAAUUGUUGUUUUGGUUAAUUUACUAAUUUAUUUUCAUAUUAAUAAUCGGUAGUUAUGUGCUAUGAAUGUGAUAUUAUUUUCUUAAAUCAGUAAAAUGGAAAUAAAGCAAGCAGAAAACUAUUUUUACAAAGAAGAAUGUAAAAUUAAAAUCCAAAAUACUAACAACCCCUGUGAUGCUGUAAUCAUGUUCCUAUUCUGUUAAAACCGAGAUAAAGAGUCUUUAAGACUGAUAAAAAUAGUUAUUUCUAUGAUGGAAAUUCUUUGGACCAAAUAAAUAGAGAAGUUAUUAUUGAAGACAUCAAAAUAAAAGAAGUAAUGCAUGUGGAAAAUGAUUUUCUUCAUAUUAAUAAAAGAAGAACUGAAGUUAUUAUGAAACCAGUGUCCGGACGGUGUAUUUUACCGACUUAAAGCAAGAGUACCUUUUAAUACUCGAAUUUGUCACAUUUUUUAAUUUCAUAAUUUUAUUUAUGUAAGUUGUGAUUGUGAAAAUAUUGUUAAGUUGUAUUCAUAGUUCACUACUUGUUCUUUUGAAAUACUAUUUUUAUUAUAAUUGGUAUUGUAAAGUUGAAAUCCUCAAAUCAAAAUAUAAUUUAUAAUUCGAAUGUA